GCAUCGGCAGGCGGACUCUCAACCACUGUGCCACCAGGGAAGCCCUACUAAUUAUUUUUAAUCCCACAUGAAAACUAAGUCUUAGGGCAAGAGGACUUGGUAUUCCCAGAGCUAGCGCUGCCCAGUUUGGGUGAUUCAGGUUGUCAUACUGAAGGGAAAAAAAGAGGCUAUUUUUUCUUUUACUCUGGUUUUUAGAACAGUACCAGGUAUCCUCCUAUCUCCAUUUUGGUGUAGCCUAGCUCCUGGGUAAACCUGGGCUAGGAGAAAGCAUUUCUGAACCAUAGUAAGAGGUGGCAUGUUAUAAAGCAGAAAGCAGUGGCUUGAUGUCUGUGUUGAGUUACGGGCUCUUCCACUUUCUAGCUGUGUGAUCUUGGGCAUUGUACUUCUAUUCUUUCAGCCUAGUCUCCACUCUGUAAAAAGGGGAUGAUAGUGAUGGUGAUACCACCUAACUCUCAGUUUCCUAGAAAGCUCUUUGGAGUGAGACAGAGGUAAAAAUUGCCACACAACCUUUAGGAGUAAAGAUGCCUGCGGAUUCCUUUGCAUCAAGGAGUCUAUUCCCUCAUCCAUGAAUCCCAAUUUUUAAUUUUUGUUCUUUUGCUUAGUGGCUCUGAAUUCAAUGUUUGUAGCAUGAAUAAAGUCUAGGAAAGCACUUCAGAGAGUGCCUGUCACAUGGUUAUGGUUUAAUAAAUAUUAGUUUCUUAUUUAAACAAAGCUUAAAAAUUAUUCGAUCAUCCUUCACCUUUAGAUCUAGUUUGUAGGUGCUAGUUAGACUUGGUACUCCAGAGGAAUUUGAGCCCUGGGAGCCCAGAGGAAGGAGAUUAAGCCUUGCCUUUGUGUUUUCUGUUCCCUGUUUCUGACUCCGUGACUGAAAGUCCAGAGGUGAGCAGAGCACUGUGAACUGAAUUCCCGUCUGGAAGUCUCACCUUUCCAGGGUCCGCUGCCACAGAGCUGGCUCAGGAAACUCUGGAAAUGAACUUUAUGCAGUGUGCAAUUUGACUCUGCCGUGCCAGCUGGAAUACACCUUUAGGAGCUGAGUAGCACUGUGCUAGGUACUGAAGACACGGUGGUGGACAAGACAGAGCUCCUGCCCGCGUGAAGCUUACAUCCUAGUGCUGGAAGGCAAUGAAAAGGUUUAAAGUGGCGGAUCCUGUCUUAAGACUAGGUCUUCACCUUGCAGACAGCAGAACCUGGGACUUCUUGGCCUCCAUAAUCACGCAGUGAGAAGAGAAGCCUGAGAAGAUGCUCCUGGCCUGAGGCAUUCUUUGUGUUGUGAUAUUUUCCUGUUUCUGUGAUGGCCUCAGUGUAUGAGCGUAUUGACUGAGGACCUUCAUAUGUUGAAAAGGUCAUGUCCCAGGAGAAAGGAAACGAGCCCCAAUGCUCUGCCUCAUCACUUCGAGGAAGAGAUGGCCAGAGAGAAUGAACCUCCUAUUCCUAUCCUGGGGCCUGCUAACCCUGAGAAACCACCUCCUUGGAAAGUGUUGUGGACUUCCUCAGUUUCUCCAAUGCAAACGAAUACUCACCAGUGCCACAGAGACAUAU